CUCUCCCUGUCGGUGCAGCGAUGCUUCCAGAAGCUAUAACUUCUUCAAAGCCACAGUUUGAAGACUUCCACCUCACAGACUCAUCAUCCAUGUCACCAGGGAACUGGAAUCCUGACUCAGCUGAAAGUAACUCCACUCAGCCAUCUUUCUCUCCUGCAGAGCCUGAAGGCUUGCCACAUUGCCCUGACCUUCCUUCCUCAGCCUCCCAAAACUGUGUGCAGGAUAGCAAGUGUACUUAGACACUCCUGGUGCCACAAGAAUGUUAUGCUGGCCCUAUCA
rnacentral:lncRNA from 1 species